GCUACGGGUGGCAGCAGUGAGGAAUAUUGGUCAAUGGACGAGAGUCUGAACCAGCCAAGUAGCGUGAAGGAUGACUGCCCUAUGGGUUGUAAACUUCUUUUAUAUGGGAAUAAAAUGUUCCACGUGUGGGAUUUUGUAUGUACCAUAUGAAUAAGGAUCGGCUAACUCCGUGCCAGCAGCCGCGGUAAUCCGGAGGAUCCGAGCGUUAUCCGGAUUUAUUGGGGUUAAAGGGGGCGUAGGUGGUUUGUUAAGUCAGUUGUGAAAGUUUGCGGCUCAACCGUAAAAUUGCAGUUGAAACUGGCAGUCUGGAGUACAGUAGAGGUGGGCGGAAUUCGUGGUGUAGCGGUGAAAUGCUUAGAUAUCACGAAGAACUCCGAUUGCGAAGGCAGUUCACUGGACUGCAACUGACACUGAGGCUCGAAAGUGUGGGUAUCAAACAGGAUUAGAUACCCGAGUAGUC
rnacentral:rRNA from 1 species